rnacentral:ncRNA from 1 species
AUCGUCAGGAUCUUCGCGAUAUAGGGGAUCAGCGGCAGGUUCAGGAUCAGCAGCACGAGGUUGCCGAUAUACAUCGAGAUGAUGACCGCCCAGAACACGUCGGGCGUGUCGAUCAUGAGCCGCGGCCC